rnacentral:rRNA from 1 species
UACGUAGGUGGCAAGCGUUGUCCGGAUUUACUGGGCGUAAAGAGCGCGCAGGCGGUCGUUCAAGUCGCGUGUGAAAGCCCCCGGCUCAACUGGGGAGGGUCACGCGAUACUGAUCGACUCGAAGGCAGGAGAGGGUAGUGGAAUUCCCGGUGUAGUGGUGAAAUGCGUAGAUAUCGGGAGGAACACCAGUGGCGAAGGCGGCUGCCUGGGCCAGUUCUGACGCUGAGGCGCGAAAGCGUGGGGAGCAAACAGG